rnacentral:lncRNA from 10 species
CUCCACUGCGGUUGCGCAGCCUGCCGAAGAGCGUGCGGCUUCUACUGCGGCUGCGCAAGCUCGACGCGCGCACUCUUGUCUGCUUACGAGGGCUCCUCCCUUCAGCUUUGGUCCCUCGGGGCGUCUGGGCAGCCUACGCUUUCCGAAGUACAGUCUAUAUAAAGACUGUCCAGGACAAAAACUGGCCACUCCAUUCAGCAUUGACAGCAGUAUUUAAAGCUGGUGCAUGGUGAGGUGAAGUUUCUCAAGGGCAAAGACAAUGCCUUCAUGCAUGUUCAGUGUCUGCCCCCGUGGGCUUUGAAAUGAUCGCUGACAAUGGGGGAUCUGCAGUGACUUCUCUGCCUCUGCCAAAGCCCAGGGGUGCUGCUCCCUAAUUCUAAGGAUUCUAAUGAGACUCAGAGCAGGUGUAACACAGGGCAUGGAGCUUCCUGAGCAAGAGGCUGGCUAACAAACUGUGGACGUGGUACUUAGACACAUUAAGAGACAUUACAGGGACACCUGCAAGUAUGUCUCCCUGGGGAGAAGCCAAGUGCAGAUGCUAUGGCCACAGAUGAUAUGGUUUGGCUCUGUGUCCCCACUCAAAUCUCAUCUCAAGUUGUAAUCCCUGGAUGUCGAGGGAGGGACCUGGUGGGAGGUGAUUGGAUUGGUUCGCAUGAUAGUGAGGGAGUUCUCACGAGAUCUGGUUGUUUGAUAAGUGUCUGGCAUUUCUCCUGUGCUGUCUCUCCUGCCACCUUGUGAAGAAGGUGCCUGCUUCUCCUUCGCCUUCCGCCAUGAUUGUAAGUUUCCUGAGGCCUCCCUAGCAAUGCAGAACUGUGAGUCAAUUAAACUUCCUUUCUUUAUAAAUUA